AUCUAGCCGAUAAGUCCCAAAUAGGACGAAACGAGAGUCCUGGAU
rnacentral:hammerhead_ribozyme from 1 species